rnacentral:lncRNA from 1 species
CCUAAUCUGUCAAGAGCACAAACGACGCUCACUGUUCCUCCAUCGUUCUCACUCGAACCAAGCCCCAAAUUCAAUCCAAAUUUGGGCGAGUGAAUCCCAAAUCCUUAACCCACGCGUCCCUCCUUCUCUCAUCUUACUGUUGCUAAUGGUUUCUGACGCAAGAUUCCCCUCCCCUCUCACUUUCUCGAAUUCGAGUUGUAUCAUACGAUUGGAAGGUUCUGAAGAUGAGAUGCUGGAUGAGUGUGAGGCGUUGGAUUGAUUUCACUCAAUCCGAGCCCCAUAUUCAUCAAGGAUUCUUCAAAAGAAGCCUGAUCCGAUUUUGUGAAAGGGGGACUCUGGUAAAAAUAAUUCGAAAAGAAAAAGGCGGAAAGGCUUCUUGAACGGAUGGUUUUCGGAGUCUAUUUUCUUCUUUGAAAAAUUCUUUCAAAGUUUAAGAGAAACAUAUAUACAAUUUCUUUUACUUUUCUGAAUCGGGAUUUGAGGUCCAAGGAGAUAACAAUUGAAGUUCAAGCUUGGUUUUCUACUGUCAUCCUGCUGACUCGCUAGUGAACCUCGCUAGGAUUUGGAGUCGAGAAGUGUAUUGUCGAGUCCAUAAUUGUUAUAAAAGAGAUUUGCAACUUCAGGUUCAAUUUUCCUCUCUUUAUUUCUAUGCGACUCUGUUUUGUUUCAGUGUUUUUGAGCUAUGAGAUUCAGUCUAGAGUGGUUUAUUCUGUGUUAUGAUCGAAUUUCUUGCUGACUGAAUCUAUUCCCGGUGGUGGUAUGUGUUUGAGUAUAUAUAGUCAAUGAGAGUCGAUUUGAGUAAUCAUCUUCCACCUCCUGUAUGUCGUGAUUGUUAUUCGGGCUCGAGGUAUAUUCUGAGUUAAAUUUCAUCAUGUUCAGUUGAACGAUAUGUGCAGUUUCUUCUGGUGAGAUUCCUUUGCAAUAUGCUCUGAUGUUCAUGAUGAAUUGCUUGAGCCAUAAGUUCAGGGAGUUAACUAAUAGUUCUGUAGAUGUUAUACUGGAAAUGUGUGGUCGACCUAGAAUGAUUUUCACUGUUAGCUAUGGUGUUUUGAUUGAGGAUUCAGCACACAACUAGUUAAUGGUUGUACUAAAGCUGACCUCAAAUCAAUUGGUUCAAGUAUACUCGCAGUAGAGUUGUUGGAAGUCUUCUAUGUGCUAAUUGUUAAACUAUAGCUUUGUACAUGUUUAGUUUCCUUCAUAAGCAACAAGAGGUUGAUUUGAGUAAGAUGAGUAAAAAUCAGUAGUAAAUUAUGAGUUUACGUUAAAUUUUUGAACCAAGUUAUGUUGCCUUGAUUGAGUUUUCCUAAAAUUUUGUUCACCCUUACCUUGGUCUCAUAGUUUAAACAGUUUAGUCGAUUGUAUUUCAGAUCUUAUUUCAGUUUCAUGGUUACUAUGGUUGUCAUGGUUCAUUAGUCGAGUCAGUACAUAUGUUGAAUGUUUUUUUUUUGGUUAAUGAGAAUCCUGUUAUGUUGCUCUCUGAAUCGGGAUCUUUGGUUGAUGUUUCUACUGACUUGAUCUUAGUAUGCCCCUUUGAGAGUUUUGAAAUGAAAUUAUUAGCCUAAAAGUUUAAUAGGCGUGAGGUCUUGGUUGAGUACAUGCUUUGGUAUGAACUGUGUUGAACCACUAGAGUAUCUGUGGUUUGUUCUAUUUUCCCUGUAAGCUGAAGGAAAUGGUUAGCAAAUUCUCUGUUUAUAAUAUUGCGUUGCUCAUAGCUGAUUGAAGUAACUCACUACUCGAUGUAAUUAGGAUCGAAGUUGCUCAUAGUAUGUCAUGGAGACUUCAAAAGUUAAAGUUUGUUUUGGUUAGCAGUAGCUUAUCCCGUUUCUAUUGAAGACUUACCUUGAUAAUGUGUAUGCAUAAUGAUAAAUGCAUUUUAGCUAAGGUUUUGGACAUCAGCUGGCACCUUGCCUCCCAGCUCUUUUAACUGUUUUUUCAGAUUCUGCUUGUUUCUUUGUGUCCAUGGAGUCCCUCUUAUCCUUGUCCUCUUUAGCAAACUUCUCAGCUUCAUGAACUAUUCUAUCAACCUAAAAAAAACAGUUCACCAAAAGGUGGAUGGUAAGUAUGCUAUAGGGAUGAUUAAUGACCACUUAUGUCUUGUGAAAGUAUAUGAUUACGGAUGAUGUGCUGAAGUUCAAAGUCAUGCCACAACUUAUAUUCACACAGAUUCUGUAAUGCAACUCAAUAUUCACAUCCAAAACUAAAGUGCAAUAGUUAUAGCCCUCAUAGUGUAGCUUGGAAACCUCUUGUUAGAAUAACUCGAUGUGUGCCAUGUCAAACAAGAAUUUCAAUUGCAUGGCCCUCGUUUUAAUUAGUUUGAUUUAAUCUUUAGACAUCGAGGCGUGCCAUUUAGCAAAUUUCCAUGGCCCUCGCAAAGUUAACAACGCAUAGCCGCUUUUAGGCACGUUAUUUAAUAAUGUACAUUCCUAAACUCGGGUGCGCAUUUAUGUGACCCAAAUCCAAAUCUCAACGAUGUUAAAAUAUGUCGAAGACCAUGGGUGCAUUUAUGCGACGUGGUUCAAGACAUGUUUUAACAACGUUGCAAUAUUUUUAAAAUGACUAAAAGCAGUUAAAGUUAAAACUGAACCAUAGGUUCAUAAUUGUUUAAAAUCAGACAAUUAAGCCGAAUAUAACAUUUGAGCGACCGUGCUAGAACUACGAAAUUCGGGAAUGCCUAACACCCUCUCCCGGGUUAACAGAAUUCCUUACCCGGAUUUCUAUGUUCGCGGACUGUUAAACAUAGUCAAGCUUUUCCUUGAUUCGGGAUUCAACCGGUGACUUGGGACAUCAUAAAUCUCCCAAAUGGCAACUCUGAAUCUUUUAAUAAUAAAUCCCAUUUUGAUUGUCCUUUAUUGAAAAAACUCCUUUAUACCCUUCCCGGGGGUGUAGUGAAAAAGGAGGUGUGACAACCACUAAGCAACUUUUAGAUUACAACCUAUGCAACCUAAGAAUUAACCUCUUAAUCCCUCACUAACUUGUAACAUACCUAUUACAAGCCAUUUUAUAAUACCUCUAUUACAAAGACUUCACAACUUGACUAACUCUAGCCAAGACAUAAAUACGAGGGUUUAUGAUUGACAAGAGUUUCCUACACACUGCUUAUAAGUAAGAUAAUUAAGAGUUACAAGUAAGAACAUUAACAAAGGUACAACUCAACUAAGGACAUACAAUUACUUGAUAUGACAAAACUGGUCUAUAGUAGUGUUGUUCUUUGUUCUUGAUACACUUGAGAAUUGUUGAUCAGAAGCUUAAUCACUGUUGAAGUGCUUGAGUGAAUUUUAUAAGUGUUCAAGUGAUUUUUGUUUUACCUUCCUUGAUGUUAAUAAUACAUGUGUGACAUCACUUGCAAUGAUGUAAUCAAGGUAGGUAAAAAGCAUUUCUCAUAAAGCUGACUUCUGCACUUUUCCUGUACUAGCGUGUGCAGGCAACAACUUUUCUAGCUGGAGAAUUGACUUCGUAUAGUUACCUCGGGAGCUGGUAACGACCUGUUUCCUUAGUUGUUCCUUCAACUCUUGAAGAGUUGAACCAUAUCCCAAGCUGGAACCUUUUGAUAUUAAGGUCUUGCGAAUGUGUAAUAAGUUCCUUAUCUGGUUAUUGAUAGUAAAUUUGUUAGAUCAUCAAAAUAUAAAACAAGGUACUUGUAACCUAUUAGUUUGGUUAAAAAAAAAAAAAAACUUGAAAGGCAAAUUGUUCGAUGUUGUUGAGCUAGACUGUUGAAGAAGACAAAGUCGUCUAUUGAUUUUUGAAGGUUUGGGUUGAAUCUAACUAGUUAAAAUUGGUAUAAGAAUUUUAAAGAAUUCCUAUUCACAUUUCAAUAUUGCUAAAAUCUGAAGGAGAUUUUCAGAGAGUAACCCUAAAUUCAUAUCUAUGAUUUUUAUGUAACUCUUUGUAAAUGGGCUACAUAGAGGUUUGUAGAUGUUCGUUAAACCUCUUAUAUGAUUGUGAUUAUCAGAAUAAAAUUUAAGUUUGCCCUCUUCGGAGGGAGGGAGGCCCUUAACUCUAAAAUUUUCAUAUUACAAUUUGUUUCGCCUGACGUAUCAGACAAUAAUUAUUACAAAGGCUUUAUGGUAAUUUUAGCACUCCUAUUUGACCAGUCUUCUAAAAUAUUUUUUUUUUGUUGUAAAAAGAAAAAAAUUAUAUUACCAAAAACUUGUGGAGUUACGGAAUCAAGUAGAAGUUGACCAUCUACUAUCCUAACUAUGUAUUGCUAGCACUAGCUUACAAAAUUAUAAACUAGACUUCUCAACAAGCAUAAAAUUUAGGGAUCGUUUGGUAGGAAGUAUAAGAAUAAUAUUGAAUAUGAUUUAUUAGUAAUGUUGCGAUUAGUUAUAUUGACAUUAGUUAUGGUGAGAUUAUUCUUAUGUACUAUUUGGUUUGGUGUAGUUGUUACACCCCACGAUUUCGUACGUAAGAGUACGUCGUAAGUCAAUUGAUGUAAGCUCAAAAAUGAAAUCAUCUUUGAAAAAGUUUACAAAGUAAGUUCAUCAUGUUAACGUGGAGGUUACAAAUAUUUAAGAUCAUGAAUACCAAGUACCAAGAGGGUUUGAAGGCUUAGAAGCUAAACGAAUUAAAGAAAAUAAGUUUCAUAAAAAGUCGACAAGUUGGGAAUGUUAUAACAUGUACUUUUGGGGUGAGACUAGGGUGCUUAACAUUAUAAGGAGAUUAUAUUAUGAUUUGUUUUAAUCGUAUGAUAGUCGCGUGUUAUAUUUUAAAGUCAAGCAAGUUGUGGAACAAAAGUUAGCAAAGAUCAUCACAAGUUACAUUCAUAAAUAUGCUGAAAAUUAGGUCAAAUGUAGCUCACUAUUUCUCUCAAUGUAUAUGGAAUUACGGGAUGGUAUAUCUACCUAAUUGAAGAUCUAUGAGUCUAGUUUCUAACGGGAUUAACCAUUCAUUGAUGAAACAUUAGAGUAGAGAGAUAUUCACGUUUUUACGAGACUGGUAGGUGACAAGUAGGUGCAUCACCUACUUGCCAAAAGGAGAGGCCUCAAUUAAAAGCUCCAAAGUCGACCAAGAGGGGAAUUUUAAGGGCUUAUCAACUCAUUUAUUUCACCCAUUUUUCAGAACAAUAAAAUAAUAUUGAACCCCUACAAAUCCUCCCCAAAAAUUCUACACAAACCCUAGGUUAUUUCGGGUGUUACGAUGUGAUUCUAGUGCCGAAAAGCCCGGUCAGCUUGCUAGUUUCUCUUUCUCCUUCUUUUAGCUGCAUUGGGGGACUGACUUUAGAUGUAGAGGGACUAGAUUUUGUGUGUUCUAAUCAUUACAAGGUAAUUUUAUGCUUUUCUUCUCUUAUCUAAACUUCUACGAGUUGUAGCUCGAUCAUAACGACGAGAACUUGCGAGUUUCGAAAGAGUAGUAUGUUGUUUGUGGUUGUGUCAUUGUUUUAUGGUUGUGCACAUAUUUUUAAGUUGAAUUCAUGGAUGUUUUAUAUGAGAAGAGGCUUAAUUAUGUACUGUUGGUCGCGUUUCUCGAUUUGAAAGAAAAGACAAGUCGGAAACGUAUUUUAGUAAUCUGAAAAAUAAGUUUUGAGUUGCUGAACUUUUGGGGCUGUUAUGGGGUCAUUUUAAAGUUGCAUUGUGGCUGUAAAUUAGUAGAGAUAAUUGAAUAUAUGAAGUUAUUAUUAUUGAUAAAUUUUGAAAGUAAGAAGGAUUUUAAAACUAUAGUUUUUAGUCACAAAUCGAGCUUGCCGCUCGUCGGUGUUGUUAAACUAUUUUGAAAGGCUUAUUAUGAGUAUUGUUGAUGUUGUUUGGGCUGUUCUUGGUUGUUGUAACUUGUGGGAAGUCAUAUAAACAGGGAAAGUGUUGUCCAUUUUCUCGUAGAAUAAAAUGUGUCGUUCAAAUGCGAUAAGUUAUGGCAUUCAUAUUAUGAUGAUAGUGUUGUUCAUUGCUUGUAGAUAAAGGAGUUGUAGGUUAAUUUAGCUUGAGGAUUUGACUGGAUAUUAUGAGGUAUGUAAGGUAUUAUUUUCUUUUAUUUGACAUGAUUGCGUAAGUUACAUUGCCCUUACAAGGAAUUCAAGGGGGCAAGUCUUUGUAAAUGUACUAUUCCGACGACUAAGGCCCGUUCACGAGUAUAGUCAUGUGAAUAUUGAAUGGUUUGUGUUGGUCGCAGUUUUAUGUAUCCUUAAGGAGUAAAUAGAGCCUUCCGAAAGGUCCUUGUAUUUUAUAUGUAACAAUACGUCUAGAUGUUAAUUAAAUAUUACGUAUGAAUGGUCUGACAAAUCAAAAGCAAUAUAGUGUGUGAAUAAUGAGGGAUGAUUAUAUACAAAUAGUUCAAUAAGGUAGCAUAAUAUAUAGUUUGCAGAAAGAUAAGAAUGCUUUGACCUAAAAAAAUUCCAUGACUUCCGAUAGUUACACGUUUGUGUUCACAAAACUGAUAGAGACCCACAAAGGUAGUUACGUUGCUCUCAAGUUAAGUAAGGUUGAUUAUAUAUGAGGGUGAUGCUACGUGAUGAUAUAUGUUACCUAAGGAGUCAUAAACUACAAAAUAUGAUAAGCUUAUCAAUAAGAAUAUAAGUUGAUAGAGCGUAAAUCCCACAACUCUUGUUACAUAUUGAUGAAAGGAUAUGUAUAUAUAAAACGGGUAGCCUCACAAGCUAUGAAUAUUACAUAGCUACAAGUAUAAAGAAUCAUGUAAUCCCCAGCAAUGAGUCAUGAUGUGAAAUAAGGAUAGAAGUGCAAUUUCUAAAUAGUUACAACAUUCUAUAUGGAUAAAUAAUAUAGAAUACAAAGUAUGACGUAGAAAGUGGCUAAGGAAUAAGGAUUGGUUAUUGCAACGAGUUACUCACGAACUUGUAUGUUUAUGAAUACGAGUUUAUAUAUUGAUGAUUGAAUGAUAUAUUCAUGAGAGAUAUGAAAUGAAUAUGUAUAAGACAUGAUCCCUACGGACAGUCGAUGAACGUGUAGGUGUACAUUGAAUCCCUAUGGACGAUCUAUGAACGCAUAGGUGCAUAAUGAAGGUUGGUUAUGGACGGUCUCAGUUCCACGCAUAGCCAGACUCAGUAUUAUGAUUCGUACGGAUGGUCUACUAUGUUACGCGUACGAGCCAAAUGUUAUUUAUGUUUAUGAGUGAGCCUUAUGGACGGUCUCUUAUGAAAUGCGUAAGUGCACUUUUAUGUUUCAAUGUAGCCCUAGAGAUGUUUGAUCUAUCUGAGGUAAGUAUACAGAUAUAAGGUAUGAUGGCUAUAAGAAUGUAAUAGAUGAAGUUCCAUAAUAUGAUGGUUUCCGUUACAGAUAAAAUAUGGGAACAAGUUCAGGUAUAUCAUUACAUGAAUUAGAUGUAUAUAUGACAUUAAAUAUUCUCGGCUAACGGGGCCUUCCCUUUUUAGUCUACAUCAUUUGUAAGGUAAGUUGGAUAAUUCAAUACUUAGAUAUGUUAUGAAUUAAGGUAGGUAUGAUUCUCGGAUCUCAUUGACCCACCAGAUUUCUUUCAGUAUAUCAUGCAUACAUGUCAUUUUGGUUUUAAUUAAGUUAUUCAUAUGUUAUCUGUCUUACAUACUUAGUAUAUUUCUUUGUACUAAUGUACCAUCGUCGGGGCACUGCAUUCAUGCCUGUAGGUUCAGGUAUCCAAUUUGAC